rnacentral:rRNA from 1 species
GUGCCAGCAGCCGCGGUAAUACGUAGGGGGCGAGCGUUGUCCGGAAUCAUUGGGCGUAAAGCGCGUGUAGGCGGCUCAGUCAGUCUGGUGUGAAACCUUGGGGCUCAACCCCAAGCCUGCACUGGAUACUGCUGAGCUUGAGUCCGGGAGGGGAGAGCGGAAUUCCUAGUGUAGCGGUGAAAUGCGCAGAUAUUAGGAAGAACACCGGUGGCGAAGGCGGCUCUCUGGAACGGUACUGACGCUGAGACGCGAAAGCGUGGGGAGCGAACAGGAUUAGAUACCCUGGUAGUCC